rnacentral:rRNA from 2 species
AUUGACGGAAGGGCACCACCAGGGGAGCCUGCGGCUUAAUU